rnacentral:piRNA from 1 species
UCAGAGCAAGGAAGUUUUCAGAAGGGAGA